GAGAGACGCCGAAAGGGAAAGGUCACGUUAGCGCUUAGCUCUCAGAUGUGAUAGCCUGCUAAAUCUUCUCUAGUAGCGAAUAUCAACUUCAGUUAAGCACUCUAUUAGAGGCACAAGUGCGGCACAUUCCAUUUCACCCUCUCAGCUCGUCUUGAUAGAGUAGAUUGUGUCACAUCUGUGACUCCAUGCUUAUAUCAUUACAGCUGAGCUGUAUUAAAAUGAAUAAUAUAUAGGGGCCAGAAUGAAGGCACACACCACUGAAGAAUGUUCCGGCGAAAAAUCCAGUGCUCGUCUUUCACUGGCAAUCGAGGAGGAGUGGAUUUAAGAUAGAAAACCAAGACAAUCGUAUGACUUCUCUUCAUGUGAUAACCUCUCUCCGUCCAGCACGCUGUACACAACCCUGGCACUGCUCCCGUAUGUAGGAUCAUCUGCAUCCGACGCAGUGACCUUCAUCACCGAUGUUCCUGCAGGAGAAUUACAUGUCAGAACAGCACAAUAACACAAGGCUUCAGGACGUCUAGGUAAUAAUCAGCGUGACGCUCAGCUGUUUCGGGGCUGCCUGGGUGCGAGGCGGCUGGAAGAACUAUAUAAAUGCAAAUGCUACGUUAUUGUGUAUAUAUAUAAAAAAAAAGGUGAAGUAGGAGUAAGUCUGCAGCAGCUAGAGUCGUUACUAAUGCCUUGGCUGGCCUCAGCUCUCACAAGCAGAAGCAGCUAAGGCAUUAGUUAUCGGCUGUGGGGUUUGUCAGUCUUAAUUAAGCAGAUUCCACUUUGUGACAGCCUCAAGAGAAUUUCAAUAAAAGUUAUUGACUAACUCAAUAGGUAAACAACAAAAUGUUACAGUAAUGAGAAAAGUAUUUUAAUGAAGAAAGCGCCCUUUAUUCACUAUCUAAAGAUUUGUUUUGCCCGCUCUGUAAAUAAAAGCAGAUGAGUAAA